rnacentral:rRNA from 1 species
AAUUUUGGACAAUGUGGGAAACCCUGAUCCAGCCAUCCCGCGUGUAUGAUGAAGGCCUUCGGGUUGUAAAGUACUUUUGGAAGAGAAGAAAGGGUAUCCCCUCAUACGAGGUACUGCUGACGGUAUCUGCAGAAUAAGCACCGGCUAACGCUGUGGCAGCAGCCGCGGUAAUACAGAGGGUGCAAGCGUUAAUGGGAAUUACUGGGCGUAAAGCGUGUGUAGGCGGUUCGGAAAGAAAGAUGUGAAAUCCCAGGGCUCAACCUUGGAACUGCAUUUUUAACUGCCGAGCUAGAGUAUGUCAGAGGGGGGUAGAAUUCCACGUGUAGCAGUGAAAUGCGUAGAUAUGUGGAGGAAUACCGAUGGCGAAGGCAGCCCCCUGGGAUAAUACUGACGCUCAGACACGAAAGCGUGGGGAGCAAACA